UACGGAGGAUUCGAGCGUUAUCCGGAUUUAUUGGGUUUAAAGGGAGCGUAGGUGGCGUGCCAAGUCAGGAGUGAAAACCCAGGGCCCAACUCUGGGACUGCUCUUGAAACUGGCAGGCUUGAGUGCUGGAGAGGUAAGCGGAAUUCCUAGUGUAGCGGUGAAAUGCGUAGAUAUUAGGAGGAACACCAGCGGCGAAGGCGGCUUACUGGACCGUGACUGACGUUGAGGCUCGAAAGCGUGGGGAGCAAACAGG
rnacentral:rRNA from 1 species